rnacentral:tRNA from 1 species
GGCGGAAUAGAUUAAAGAUAGAUCACCAGGCUCAUGACCUGAAGAUGAAGGUGCGAGUCCUUCUUCCGCUU